GGAGACAAACAACAAAAAAUAAGUCUCAGUUGGAUUGAAGGCUGAAAUUCGCCUUCAUGAAGCCGGAAUUGCUAGUAAUGGCAGGUCAGCAUACUGCCGUGAAUACGUUCCCGGGCCUUGUACACACCGCCCGUCACACCAUGAGAGUUGGGAAUACCCGAAGCCUGUGAGCUAACUUUUAGAGGCAGCAGUCGAAGGUAGAAUCAAUGAUUGGGGUGAAGUCGUAACAAGGUAAC
rnacentral:rRNA from 1 species